GACGAACGCUGGCGGCGUGCUUAACACAUGCAAGUCGAACGGAAAGGCCCUGCUUGUGUGGGGUGCUCGAGUGGCGAACGGGUGAGUAACACGGGAGUAACCUGCCCUUGACUUGGGGAUAACUUCAGGAAACUGGGGCUAAUACCGGAUAGGAGCUCCUGCUGCAUGGUGGGGGUCGGAAAGUUUCGGCGGUUGGGGAUGGACGCGCGGCUUAUCAGCUUGUUGGUGGGGUAGUGGCUUACCAAGGCUUUGACGGGUAGCCGGCCUGAGAGGGUGACCGGCCACAUUGGGACUGCGGUACGGCCCAGACUCCUACGGGAGGCAGCAGUGGGGAAUAUUGCACAGUGGGCGGACGCCUGAUGCAGCAACGCCGCGUGCGGGAUGACGGCCUUCUGGUUGUAAACCGCUUUCGCCUGUGACGAAGCGUGAGUGACGGUAAUGGGUAAAGAAGCACCGGCUAACUACGUG
rnacentral:rRNA from 1 species